GACGAACGCUGGCGGCGUGCUUAACACAUGCAAGUCGAACGAAGAGCGAUGGAAGCUUGCUUCUAUCAAUCUUAGUGGCGAACGGGUGAGUAACGCGUAAUCAACCUGCCCUUCAGAGGGGGACAACAGUUGGAAACGACUGCUAAUACCGCAUACGAUCUGAUCUCGGCAUCGAGGAUAGAUGAAAGGUGGCCUCUACAUGUAAGCUAUCACUGAAGGAGGGGAUUGCGUCUGAUUAGCUAGUUGGAGGGGUAACGGCCCACCAAGGCGAUGAUCAGUAGCCGGUCUGAGAGGAUGAACGGCCACAUUGGGACUGAGACACGGCCCAGACUCCUACGGGAGGCAGCAGUGGGGAAUCUUCCGCAAUGGACGAAAGUCUGACGGAGCAACGCCGCGUGAGUGAUGACGGCCUUCGGGUUGUAAAGCUCUGUUAAUCGGGACGAAAGGCCUUUUUGCGAAUAGUGAGAAGGAUUGACGGUACCGGAAUAGAAAGCCACGGCUAACUACGUG
rnacentral:rRNA from 1 species